UACCCCAUGGAAUGCUCAGGUCCGCCGCAUCUCCUGGGUCCCGUGGGGCGGCCGGUCGGCAUCCGAAUACGCGGUUUCCUCGUACCGCAUCGGAAUCGCCGACCGGCCACUGA
rnacentral:sRNA from 1 species